rnacentral:rRNA from 1 species
UACGUAGGGGGCAAGCGUUGUCCGGAUUCAUUGGGCGUAAAGAGCGUGUAGGCGGCCAGGUAGGUCGGUUGUGAAAACUGGAGGCUCAACCUUCAGAGGUCGACCGAAACCAUCUGGCUAGAGUCCGGGAGAGGAGAGUGGAAUUCCUGGUGUAGCGGUGAAAUGCGCAGAUAUCAGGAAGAACACCCGUGGCGAAAGCGGCUCUCUGGAACGGUACUGACGCUGAAACGCGAAAGCGUGGGGAGCGAACAGG